rnacentral:lncRNA from 1 species
CGCUCCAGGACUGUGACUGGGGAAGGAUGGAGUAAACUCAGAACCAUUUCAACACCUCUUUUGGGAUUUUGUGGCCUAACUCAGACGAGUGUCUCCCAGCACGUCCUUGGGAAGGCAGGACUGCUUUCAGACUGCAGCUGAGGGGUUGGAGCUGACUUACAGGGCUAUUUCGGGAUCUGCAGUGGAACCAAGAAUUUCAACGUGUCUGCGAGGAGAGGGGGUUAUUUUAGCUGAGUCUACUAUGUUGCUGUGAUCUUUUCAAAGUCAACAUUUCCCAGUGUUUGCUCCUGUUUCUUGUAAUUCUCACAUCAGGACACUUGGUCUGACUUCCCAGGCCGAUGCUGCGUAUUUUGACGUCUCCUAUGAGUUUUUUACUGGCUCUUUUUUUGCGCUUUCCCAGAUUGAGUGUAAACAUGGGUUUGUGCUAGAAACCAUGAAGGUUCCUGUUCAUAUUUCCAGGCCAUAUGAAAGAAGGAGGGAAAUGUUUAGACUCACUGGUUUUGCUUUGUGGGGUGGUCUCAUCUGGGAGGGGCUCCUGUGCACACGGGGAGAGCUUGCUGGGCAAUGACUGCCUCCGGCUCAUCCACAGCCCUGGCGUCUGUGAAGCCUGUGUGCUUUCCCCUCAGGAAAGCUGUGGUGGCCUUGUUGGGGUCUCUCAGAAUCCCACCUUCCCUAGACUCUACCCACUUCUUUGAUGGCUGUGACACAUGCUGUCCGUUGGAGAGAUGGACGCCCAGUUAUGGUCCUUCCAUGAUUUCAGUAGUGGCUUAGGGCAGGAGGAAGGUGGACUGAGAGGUGGGAGUUAGUCGUCUGUCCCAAACUCAAGGGAGCACUGCGAUUAUAAAUGGUGUUUCUCGACAGAGGGCCUUGUCCCCAGAUAAAGAAUACUUAGGGUCACCUGGACAGGAGCAGUGUGUGCACCCACGGGUGUGUCUGUCUCUGUGUGAGUGCAUGCGUGUGUACUGUGCAUGUAUGUAAUGUGUGCAUGUGUGUAUGGGCAUGUGUACCUGUCUACAUGUGUGCACGUGCAUAGGCAUGUGCACAUGUGCAUGCAUGUGUAUGGGCAUGUGUACAUGUGAGUGCAUGCAUGUGCAGGAGGAUGUGUGUGCACGUGUAUGGAUAUGUGUGCUUGUGUGUGUAUGCACAGGGCAUUGUACGUGUUCAUACCUAUGUGUGUGCAUGUGUGUACAUGUGUAGGAGUGUGCACAUGUGCACGGGCAUGUGUGCAUGUGAGUACGUGCAUGUGCAGAAGUGUGUGCACGUGUAUGGAUAUGUGUGCUUGUGUGUGCAUGUACAGGGUGUUGUAUGUGUUGGUUUGUGUGUGUAAAUGUGUAGGAGUGCACAUGUGCAUGUGUGUGCAUGUGUGAUGGGUGUAUGUUCGUGUGGAGCAGACACCCAUGCUGGCCUGCGGGGGCUGCCUGCAGAUGGUGUGGGAGACGCUGGGGCCACCCACCACGGCUGGGCUGAGCUGCUCAAGGGAGGCUGACUGAGGGGCUGCUCUCUGCCCAUCAGUGUGGGUGGGUCAGUUUGUCUGUGGCUUCUGGAAUUCCUGUGAGGAACCGAGAGGGACUGAGAGCCAGCCCUGGCUGGAAGGGGUCUCUCCCUGAGCAGCCUCUUGGAGCAGCACUAGGGUGGGCAGAACUUGGGAGCUCCCUGGUGGUCUGAGGUGUGGCCGGGAAGGCAGGGCUGAGACCAGCCGGGUGCCCCUGCCCACCCACUCCUGGCCUGGUGUCGGCUCUGCACAGAGUGCACACGCACCUGUGUCCUCCUUUCCCUGACAGGAAAGAUGCAUUUGCCCAGGUUCAAAAAGGGCUUGUGGAAGUCUUGAAGCAGCUGGGCAAGGUGGUGCCUGGAAGCCUGAGAUCCUGCCGGCUGGACCAAAUGCGUUGUCCACAACUACAGCCACUGAUGAGCGUCUCGCUGCUCACCUGUCCCCUAGGGGCCCCGCUGAGCCCCCAGGCUGCAUCCCCUGGCCCGCCACGGAGAGGACUCCACCCCACCCUCAUUUCCCAGGGGAGGAGCCGGGCCUCUGGGACUUGUGGAGGGCCUGCAAGUGAGGACCGUGGCUACCAGGGACCUGGCGGCUGCAGAUGCUUUGUGGGAGGCCUGUGUGCAGCCCUUCGUCCUGCCCGGAGCUGGGACCUACUAAGCAGUGGAGUUCAGCAGGGCUGGGUGGAGCUGCAUCUCCCUCCUGGGGUGCCCACCCACCCCUCUGUGCUCUCACGCUCACAAGGGGCCUGGAGGUCCCAGUUGCUAGGGGGCCCUCAAUUCCUGGGUCCCAGAUGAUGGAAGCGCAAUGUUAAAAAUGUUCACCAGACCAACCUGUACUGGCUGCAAUUCUCAAUAAAGCAGUUGAGGGACACACCCA